CUAGCUUCCUGUAUGACUCUGGGGAAAUCAGUUUGUCUCUCUGCUUCCAUUGCCUCAUCUCUAAAAUUCACCUUCAAGAUCUCUGUGCAAAGUUGAGGUGAUGGAGAAGAAGACAGUGGUGCUUUCAGAAAGCAGCUGUCCCAGCAACACCUCACCCAGCAGCAUGUGCAUGUCCUUUGAUACCUGAGACCUUCCUUAGUAGCAAGGAAGUCCAUCUCUGGUGGCAAAAUAUAACUCAUUCUUUUG